ACACUUGCUAAAUGUUUUUAAAUUGCUUAAAAUCCUAGAUGUCAGCAGAUCAGGAUAUGGUAGUGCUUGGCUCUUAGUAUAUGCUCUGAAAUUCUUAUUGAUGAAUGUUGAAUAAAUAGCGAAAAAGGUUUCAGAGAAACUUAAAAACCUAAAAUGAUAAUAGAAUGUUACUGUUGUUACUGUCAAUUUUAUGUGAUACUCAUUUCAUUUAAAAACAACCUGAUUGUACAUUGCCCUGUGAAAAAUAAAAGGAUAAAUUAAGACUUUAUACACAGCAUAAAAAUAAGCUAUAUUUUUAUGGAUUCCUCAAAGAGUAAAAUGUUCUUUUGUAAAUUAUACAGGUAACUGAGGUGUUACUCUUUUAAAGGACAAAAUAAUUUGUAACCAUGUUCAGUGGAAAAUUUUCUGAGUAUUACAUGCCUAGGGCUUAGCCAACAAAGUACACUGAGCGUAAUAAACACAGAAACUUCACAGAAUGUUCAAAUGUGCACAUACUUCAUCACACUAAGGGGAUUGUACUACUCAGUACUGGCUCAGCAUGAGCUGCCUGUCCUGAGAGCUGGUUAGAAAUGCAGGGUCUUAGGCCCCACACCUGCUGGAGGUUACCGUGGUCUGUAGGGGUGAACAGCGCUGGACUCAUGCGCUGAUGCAGCUGAGGAUUCUGGUGCUUCUUACUUUUGCCCAGCCUCUGUCAUGCUUGGCUGACAGUAUCUUUCUAGUUACAAGUGCCUCCUCUGCUGACCAGUCGGUACUCACUGCCCACCUCCCUUUCCACACUGCCGAAGGAAGAGGAACACAGAGAAUCCUGUGACAUCAGAGGCUUCUCAUCUGCACAUUUCUAAGGAAAACGGUGACACUACGAAGCACAGAAACGAGGCUCUCAGAAACAAUGUACGUGUUUGAGACGUUUCUCUGAGCUGCUGGGUGGCAUCCCAGGGCUGCCCACUCUGAGGGCUCUAAAGGAUACAUGGCCUGUGUGGCAUGUUUAUACACAUGAAAUCAAAUCAGAGAUGGUUGAAAGGUAGUAGAACUUCAAACUGAUUUGAAGACACCUGCUUUAAAGCCUGUGUUAGGUGCAUGGAGCAAUAUGAUACAAGAAAUAACAUCCAUUUUGUUGCGGUUCUGGCAGUUAGUGGCAAGCGUGUCAAAUCCUCAGCUGAGUUGGCCAGUCUUAGCAGGAGGUUGUGCCCAGCUAUGGCAGACUCGGGUACAAUCUCACAAUUUCCGUAUAUACUCAAAAGGGGGAAAUCUCAAUUUGUAAUUUGUGAAAUGUUAGGCUAGAGAAGCUUUUAGGAAAUAAAGCAGUAGUUAUACUUGUGCUCACAGUGCUUUCAGAUGCGCUAUACCCAAGAUGGUUUUCCACGAUCAGAAUAGUGUUACAAAGAGGAUUUUAGAACAUGUUCAAGGUUUACCAAUAGAAAACGAAUGAUUACAUUCUCCUUGCAAUAUUAUAUUUGCUUCCUUGACUGCCUUGCUGUAAAAGCUAGGAUUCUGAAUGUGCUUUCUAUAAUGUAAAUAAUUUGAUAGGGUUGCUCUUUCUGGUACUAGAUUUUUUUCUCUCCUUUUUUAAGUAAACAUUUUUCAACUAUAAAAUAGUUGAGUUUAAUUUUAGCAAGUUUUGUUUUCGGCUUUUAAAAUUAUAAGUGGUAGAAAUUUUUAUAUAAUCAAAAGUUUAUAUAAUCAGUUUUAUUUAGAAGAAAACAGGCCAUUUUAAUAAGUGGUUCUAUACAUCGAUAAGAAAAAAUUUAAGAAUGCAUGUUACAAUACCCAAAAAUUAUGACAAAUAUACAGGGUGUCCAUACACACACACACAUACACACACACUUUUAAAA